CAUUCACAGUGGUGCAUCACAACUUCAGCAGUUCUGCCACAGAGCUUGUGGUGGUCAGUGGUGUGCCUGAGCCAGCUCAGGGAGGGUUGGAGUCUGGCUUGAGGAUUCUUCUGAAGCAGCUGACUAGCUGGCUUUUAUUGCAAGACAGAGAACACAAGAUCUCUUCAUUGAUCCUGCAAGGUGGCUGUAGUAUUUUGCCUUGAAAGACUGGAAGUUCCCUCCAUGAGAACCUGGGAGGACAAGGAUGGCCUCCUGUGCUGUUCUGCAGAGAGGAGCAGCCUUCGAUGGUGAGCAAAGAAGCAGUAGCGCAGUCCGCUCUCGGGAGCAGCACCUGGCUCUAGAAUGCUGCCAUGAAUGUCUUCAACUCGCUGCAUUGUAUGUAUUGAAGAGAUUGGAUAUGCUGCACUUGUUGAUCAUCCAUGAUGGACACAACAGCCUCUAUUUGUGUCCUGGAAGGGGCAGAGAGAAGAACUGGCACAGGCCCAGCCCUGGCAGCAGCACGAUCAUCUAGAAUGCCAGAAACCAGCUCUGCUCCUCCCUGCCACUGGAGCAGGCUUUGAAGGGGUUGAAAGAAGCAAGACCACGGUGCCUCCCUCAGCAGCACUCUCUCUGGCAGUCAGCUCCUGGUGUUCUGCAGGGCAGCCUUGGAAGUGAUGGGAAGAAUUCAUGUGGUCCAUGAUGAAGGAAAACCAGGUUCUGGCUGGUCCAGGCCUGUGCAUGUCGAUAGUUGGCAAUAAAUGUAAGUGCUGUUAUGAAUGUAACAACCAUUUUUGGGUUAUGCCUUUUGCACACAGUUAGUAUGCUGCUGUAUCGAGUGAGAUGGUGAACUAGUUCUCUGAAUGGCCACUGAUGCCAAACACAAAUUAUCACUUGUGUUUCUGGGUUGAGGGACACUUCACACCAUCACAGCCCGAUCUGCCAGCUGAUAGGCUAAGUGUCUGGUUGUUUCCGGCUGGUGGACUGCAUGGAGCCUCGGCCUACUUGUCAGUCUUGGGGAACACCACAGAGUGACGAUAGGUGGAAAUCAAAGUGUCCAGGGACAGACUCUCCAGUUGGAUUUGUGUGUCAAUGCUAUGGCACUUGAUCUACCCAGUACAUGCAGAAGUGGAGCCAGAUGAUUUAGUUUCCUAGCACUGGAAGCUUUGAUCCUAAGAUGCUGUUGCACCUCAGGAGCUAUCUGCACCUGAAUCGCCCAAGACAAAUGGAUGUCUGGUACCUGUCGGAUGAGGAGGCGGGCAGCGGUGAAGGGGGUGAUCAGGAUGGCAACCGCACUUGCUACGCCACAGCUCUUGGUGACUCUGCUUCUCUCUGCACAGGCCCUGCCCUCUUUGCCCACGCUGGUGCACUCUUUUCCUUCUGUCAUGGGGCUGCAGCUGGCCAGGGAAUUGGUACCAAAGGUUUGCCUCUCCCCGCCAGAUUUGUUGGAUGGGUGGCACGUUGUCCUCACCACCACCACCACAAACCAAUAAAUGCUAACCUGCAACUUCAGCCUGUUCAGUCUAGGCAGCUUGUUCAGCCAGCCCCUUGGACUCCCUCAGCCAGGAGUGAAGCAUAAGGCCACCCUGCUGCCAUCUGCCUUGACCCUCAUGCUGGGUCUCCCCCUCUUUGACUUUGAAGACUCCCUCUGAAGAAUAUGGCUACAAGCUCAUCUUUUUCCUCAAAGAAAAAUCUGUGUCUUCCAAAGCGAGACACUCUUUCUUAGUGAAAAAACUGCUCCGGCCCCUCUCUUUGGAUCCGGGAGCCCAGCUCUGUAAUUGGAUACCAGCGCAUGCCAAGAAAAAACUCAGCCAGUCAGAACAACUGGGGUAGUGGUGAGCACCAGCUCGCAGCUUACAGCAGGGGGCACAUCCAUGCAGCUUGGGAGGAACUUCAGUCGGACAAAGAAGCAGGCCAAGAACGGAGUGAGGCGGCGAAGGCAAAGUUCUGUCCCCAGGCUAACCAGCCAUGAGCUCAAACGGUUGCCAUUAUUGUGACCAGCCAGUUCACGGGAAACAAAGGAGAGGAAAAGGAGUGCCCAUGAUGUCCAUCAGCCAUGGGGCCUUGGCGCAGUGGCCAGCCGUGAUGAAAACUCCCAGGGCCCCAACAUGUUAACUCAGCUGAGCACUUUUGGAACUGGCUUCUUGUUGGUUGUCUGUGUCUUGUUCUGUAAAGGGAAAUGUUGUUGAUCCUCCAGUAAAUAUUGGCACAGUAUGUUUGACUGAAUGUUACUGACAAUGCAGUGAGAAAGGGCCAUAGUGCCUCACAGUCUCACAACCCGCCUCUGCGUAGGUUGAGCUCUUGUAUGUGAAAAUGUUUUUGUAAUGUGACAGCACUUCUGUAAACCUUUUGGGAAAGGACUUGCUCUGCAAAUUGAACACCAUUAUUCACAAUUAUCUGUGGACAUACCACAUAAUUGGGCUACUAAAUUAGUUAUGGCCUCAGCAACAGAAGGGGCUUCUCAGCAGUGCCUUGGGUGGCCAACUGAGGCACUGGAUGACGGGCCUCCUUCUUUGUGGGCCUCCCCUGAAGAAAAAGGGAGCGCUGCUUAUGGCUGGACCAGAUACAUUACCCCUAAGAAGGGCAAGCUCUACUUUUCCCCCUCAUGGUAUCAAAUUUAUUGUGGGGUUUCUGCAGCUGUCUUUGCGACUGCUAAUAUGAUUUUCCACCACAGUAUGGACGAUGUUUCUGAUAUUGCAUUUCUGUUUUGGUGCUACAUCCAGGAGGCCCACAGGUGGCAUCAGGCUGAGAGAACAGUGUGAACAACACAAUGCUCCACCCCUUGGGUUUCUAGUUGGGAGCUGUAAAGCCACAUGUCUUUGUCUAAGCCUCUCUAUGCUUUGCUUUCUGAGUCUGAGCAGAAAGAAGACGUGAUGGCAUCCCAGUCUUGGGAGCAGCAGGAUCAGCUAGACUGCUGGAAAGCUCCUCCCUGCUGGUGGUGAUGGUAAGGAUUUCUACAGGUAGUGUUGGGUCUUCACUGUUGUGACAUGAGCAUUGUAGACAUUUGUUUUGCAGGAGCAGGCUCUGAAGGUGUGGAAAGAAGCAGUACCAGGGUCUCAAUCAGUAGGGGCAUCUUCCCUGUGCCCGAUGUUGCAGAGGAGCAGCUGCAGAAGUGGCAGAAACGAUCGGUGCAGCCACAGCCUCAGCCUCAGGUGCAACACGAUUCUCGGACACAAGAAACCUCUGUGACUGGUGGCAGACAUGCUUGACGUUUGGAUCUUGUCACGAACCCAGCUCUGACCGAGAUGACUCACAGGCCAGUGUGGACGCCCUCAAAAACCCCUUGCCUGUGUUGUAGCUGGCUCUGUAUUGAGGCUUCUCUUCGCCUGCACUGUUGGCAGAAGCACCUUGCAGGAUGUCUUGCUUCCCAUUCCUGUCCCCUGCUCUUGGAUGUCUCCGCUCCUGACACUUGAACUCUGACUUUGCCUGCUUCAAAUGGACUGACACUUUCCUUCAGCCUCGCACCCCUCUUGCCCAGCCGGGACAGCCAGAAGACGGACACUGCUCAGCCUUGGCUCUGCUGCCUUGGUCAGCAUUGUGGUCUUCCUUUCCUGAGUACCUGAUAAUCUGCCUCUCCAGCCACUAACUACAUCAGUGUUGUCUUGGAGUCUCCUGUGAGAGGAGAGACGCUGUGCCCCUGGGGCUUAUAAAGAGGGAGGGUGUGCCCCCAAGAGGCACACUGGAUCUAGUCUUCCACCAAGUGAGACUACCUGUGACUCUAUCCAUCACCUGCCCUGCCUAGCAUCCCCCCCCCAUCUGAGGAAGCACCAGCUGCCACUGAGGGAUGGGCCUUGUCUGGGGCUACGCUGAGACUCUGGAAUCCAUUCCCUGCAGAAAUCAGAGCCUCCCCAUCUCAAACUACUUAAGACAUUGGACACAUUUCUUCACCCAAGCUUUUAAAGUAGAUGUGGCUUUAACUUCCUGGUCUUUGACUGUAAUAAAGAUGUGUAUCUGAAGGUUUUA